rnacentral:lncRNA from 1 species
UUAAGUUCUUACCUUCCAAGUUGAGAUGCAAAGAGAUGAACUGAGAAUAGGAGAACAGCACAGUGGGGUACACAUGAAGAGCUUAUCACAAUUCCCCUUAGUAACGGCUUGGACAGGUGAAAGUCAGCAAGCUUCCCAGUAGACCAAUUGAUCUGAGUUGCCUCUCUGGCCAGAAGCCAGCCCUGGCAGGGAUCCAACUUCCUCUCAAGCACUGAGAAAGGGCUCAGGUGUAUCUGGUGGCCGGCAGAGCAGGUAGUCAGCCAAGGCUUCAUAGUUCUCACCCACGGCAAUUCAGCUAGCAAACUAGAGACACUUCCCCAAGAAGACACAGCGUGGCAAGACUGCUGAGACGCAUAAAGAAAUCUUAGCUGGAAUGCCUUCUCAGAAUCUUGAUUUUCAAAGUGAUGGAUUGGGAGAUCCCAAGCCAUGAAUAAAGGGUGCUCAUCACAGAUGGAACAAUGGCGAGAGCACACCUGGACAGGGGAGGGGCAGGAGUUCUGAUUCCUGACACAGGUUUCCUGGUUGAAUGUUCUGUUGUAGAAGAAUGCAACUGAGUUUUCUAAACAGAUCUUCUUCUUGACAUCCUUGCUGAACGCUUGUUCUGAGGAUGAAGUGAGAAAAUGCCCACGAGGUGCUGGUUGCAGCAGCUGGUGCAUAGAGCUUAAAAAGGAUGCAGUCCCAAAACAUAGAAGGAUUUACUCCAGAUCCAAGCAAUGAGUCAGGAACAGAAAGCCUGAUGCCCUCACCUGGAACUCUCCCUCCUCCCUGGAUGAGGACCUUCCCCAGAAUUGCAGGGCACCCACACAAGACCAAGCAAGUUCAGAGAAAAUUGAAACCUGACUUUAGAGCCUCUGGGAUGUUCACUACACCUCAUUGAACCUGUUUGGUUCACAGAGCUCCAACUACCGUCUACUUCCUGCAACUGGCCUGCUGCCAACUCCCCAGAUCUCUUGUGGAGCUGCCGGAAGAGACAGCCUGCCACAGAAGAAAGCAGCCCUCCUCUUUCAUGGCCUCCCACAUCUUGAAACAAACACAAGCAAACAAAACAAAAGCUUGAGUCCCAGCCUGAUUCACCAGGUUUGGUUCCCAAUUGUUGAAAUUCCCUUCCCAGGGCUCUCAGAACCAGGGUUGGCUGGAGGGGUGAAAGAGGCUGGCCCUGAGCCCAGUAAUAGGACACCAAGGGGGAGCUAAAAGCUGGGAUCUGGGGUGAAGAUGGGGUCUUCCAAGCUGGGAGGCAGACACCAGGCCAGAGCAACCGGCCUGCCCCAGCUCAGGCCUCUUAACCCAUGCAGGGCAAGAGUAUAAACAGAGGCCACGGACCACAUGCCUCAGUAUUUAAACUUAUAAAUCAAGCUAACAUAACAUGAAAUCAAAUAUGUUCUAUCCUCCUAGCUUGACAAAUACUUUCAUAACGAGAUGGAAUGCCAGGUUCAGAUUUAGAAUUUUCACACUCCUUAAAGUUCCAAGUCAAAAUACAGCAUUAGGGGAGGGCCCCCAACCUCGAGGUCUCCCCUCCCCCAUUUUCUUUCACUCCCAGCUCUGUCUCACACCACGAGGGAUCUUGGGUGAAUGCCCCUCGAUACCCCAGCCCCCCACAAACAGCUGCCCUUUCCCCCCUUGGCCAAGGGUAAGCACAGCAGCAGGGCAGUCUGCCCUUGGCUGGAGAGAUGGAAGGAGAGGCCACACGGGCCCUGAAAAUGCAUUUGGGGACUCUUGGGCAGGAAACUUGGGAGUUUCUGGAGCCUCAAGGAGGGUCUAGUGGGACAGAGCCACUUGGGCCCAUGAGAUCCUUGACCCAUGGAGAAGGGUAGGGCUAGAGGAGGGCCAGGGCAGGCCCUAUGAACAGAAGAACCUAGAGUAACUGCCCUGUCCCCAGAUCCUGUCACCGAGCAGGUAUACUUGGGAGGGUAUUGGAGGGUGGAACCCAAGGGAGCUUGCCCAAGGCACUAGGAAAGAAAAGUGUAAACCUUGUUAGAGAAUGCUAAGGAUAGCUGUUAAAGCCUCAGAGAUUUUACUCAUUUUUGGCUGUUUCUAAAAAUCUUCCCCCAAAGGAAGAUCUUGCUCUCAUUGAGGAUCUGAGAAAGAAUUCUCUCCAAGUAGUUUCAAAACAUUCUGAUGUAAAAACUCUGGUGUGUUAGUCAAAAAUAAAUUUUGUUGCUUGAUGGCUUCACCAUUCACAAAAUAUUCUAUCCAUCCAAUUUAAAAAUAAGAGCAGGGUAUUUAAAACUCUUUCAAUAAACACAAAUUAAAACAAUGAAGCUUG